rnacentral:rRNA from 1 species
GACGAACGCUGGCGGCGUGCCUAAUACAUGCAAGUAGAACGCACAAGGAGGAGCUUGCUUCUCUUGAUGAGUUGCGAACGCGUGAGUAACGCGUAGGUAACCUGCCUGGUAGCGGGGGAUAACUCUUGGAAACGAUAGCUAAUACCGCAUAAUAUUUACUAUUGCAUGAUAGUCAGUUGAAAGGUGCAACUGCACCACUACCAGAUGGACCGGCCUGGUAUUAGCUAGUUGUUGGGGUAACGGCUCACCAAGGCGACGAUCCUUAGCGGACCUGCGAGGGGAUUGGGCAAAAUGGGAAUGGGGAACGGGCCAAGAUUCUUCGGGGAGGAGGAGUAGGGGAACUUCGGGAAAUGGCCGAAGGCUGGACGGAGAACGGCGGCGGGGGUGAGGAAGGUCUCGGAUCGGUAAGCUCUGUUGUAAGGGAAGGAAGAGAGUGAGAGUGAAAAGCGCACGCUGUGACGGUACCUAACCAGAAAGCGACGGCUAACUACGUG